rnacentral:rRNA from 1 species
GCCUAUAUACCGCCGUCGUCAGCUUACCCUGUGAAGGCCCAGCAGUAAGCAAAAUUGGCCAACCCAAAAACGUCAGGUCGAGGUGUAGCGUACGAGGUGGGAAGAAAUGGGCUACAUUUUCUACAUCAGAAUAUUACGAACAGCAUAUUGAAAAUAUAUGCUCGAAGGUGGAUUUAGUAGUAAAAAGAAAACAGAGUAUCCUUUUGAAUUAGGCUCUGAGACGCGCACACACCGCCCGUCACUCUCCCCUACACAAACUUAAACCAAUAUUUAUAAUAACACAUCAAAAAACACGGGGAGGCAAGUCGUAACAUGGUAAGUGUACCGGAAGGUGCACUUGGAAUAA